rnacentral:rRNA from 1 species
GACAGAGGGGGCAAGCGUUGCUCGGAAUCACUGGGCGUAAAGGGUGCGUAGGCCGCACGGUAAGUCAGAGGUGAAAUCCCGGAGCUCAACUCCGGAAUGGCCUCCGAUACUGCCGUGCUCGAGGACUGGAGAGGAGUCUGGGAUUCACAGUGGAGCAGUGAAAUGCGUGGAUAUUGUGAGGAACACUAGUGGCGAAGGCGAGACUCUGGACAGUUCCUGACGCUGAGGCACGAAGGCCAGGGGAGCAAACGGG